UUACUCUGGCUUCUCUUCAGAUCGUAUAAAUCUUUUACCUUUUACUAAAGAUUUCUGUGGAGAGGAACAUUUAUGAGUUUUUCCACAUUGCUGUUUUUUAACUGCUAGGUGAGCA